GAUGAACGCUGGCGGCGUGCUUAAUACAUGUAAGUCGAACGAGGAGCUUUGCUUCGGUAAAACUCCGAGUGGCGAACGGGUGAGUAACGCGUUGGUGACCUGCCCCGAAGUGGGGGAUAACGGCUCGAAAGGGCUGCUAAUACCCCAUGUGGUCGUAGAGGUUAGAGACUCUACGUCUAAAGGCGUAAUUCGCUUCGGGAUGGGCCUGCGUCCCAUCAGCUAGUUGGUAAGGUAAUGGCUUACCAAGGCGAAGACGGGUAGGAGGCCUGAGAGGGUGGCCUCCCACAAUGGAACUGAAACACGGUCCAUACACCUACGGGUGGCAG
rnacentral:rRNA from 1 species